GCUGAGCCGGCGAGAUCUCGCGAGAUGCUGGAGGGCAGCCGGCCGCUUCCCCUACGGCGCGUGGUACCUGAGGCGAUGCAGUAGCCGCCGACCGCCCUGCGCUCCCGCGGGUGAUGCCGGGGGCUUUCCCUUCCGGCCCGCAGGUGCUUCCGGAGUUGCGGGCAGAGUGCGCCCCCGUCGCGAGGCCUACUCUGAGCACCGGCCCGCCGAGACUUCCCCAUCUCACUCCAGGCCUGAGCCUAGGGGAAGGCAGGAUUUCCUCAGUGCUGUCUUUGAGGGGAUAAACUCACUCGCGUGGCAGCGUUAGAUUUGCAUAACCAGAUACUAAUUCCGGUCCUGAUGCAGUGGGUGUGUCCACACUUCCGACGACAGCUUCCUUUUAAAAGCUGUGAUGUUUGAAGGUCAUGACAGCCUGUGAUUCUAAAUAAAGAUUUAAAGAGGAGAGUUCAGCUCUUCUAGUGUUGGUUUGCAUUCCUUAAGCCAGAGGUCAAAAGAAUGCCACAAGUUUCUGCUAGGAGAGGUAUCCUGCUAACUUCAUCUUCAACAUUUGAAAACCACCGACAAACCUGAGCAUCACGGUGAGAUGCUACCGCCUCCCUCCGCUAGGGCCAGAGUGUCUGGAGCAGGAGGCUCUAUCCCUGCUGCUGUCCGCAGGACAAUGCUGCAUCCUUCACAGACCCGGCCAGGAAAAUGUCCACAGAAC